rnacentral:rRNA from 1 species
AUGUCAUGGUGGAAAUUGUGCAUCCCAAAGAGUGAAGGAGGUAUGGGCUUUCGCGACCUAUAUUCGUUUAAUUUAGCUAUGUUGGCAAAACAAUGUUGGAGACUCAUCACUGUCCCAGAUUCCUUGGUAGCAAAAGUGUUGAAGGCCAAAUAUUACCCCAAUGGAAGUAUACUAUGCUACCCCAAAAAUGGGUCAUCCUUCACAUGGCAAAGUAUACUGAAGGGUCUUGAUACAUUC